GACGAACGCUGGCGGCGUGCCUAAUACAUGCAAGUUGAGCGCUGAAGGUUGGUACUUGUACCGACUGGAUGAGCAGCGAACGGGUGAGUAACGCGUGGGGAAUCUGCCUUUGAGCGGGGGACAACAUUUGGAAACGAAUGCUAAUACCGCAUAAAAACUUUAAACACAAGUUUUAAGUUUGAAAGAUGCAAUUGCAUCACUCAAAGAUGAUCCCGCGUUGUAUUAGCUAGUUGGUGAGGUAAAGGCUCACCAAGGCGAUGAUACAUAGCCGACCUGAGAGGGUGAUCGGCCACAUUGGGACUGAGACACGGCCCAAACUCCUACGGGAGGCAGCAGUAGGGAAUCUUCGGCAAUGGACGAAAGUCUGACCGAGCAACGCCGCGUGAGUGAAGAAGGUUUUCGGAUCGUAAAACUCUGUUGGUAGAGAAGAACGUUGGUGAGGGUGGAAAGCUCAUCAAGUGACGUUAACUACCCAGAAAGGGACGGCUAACUACGUG
rnacentral:rRNA from 1 species